UACGUAGGUGGCAAGCGUUGUCCGGAAUUAUUGGGCGUGAAGCGCGCGCAGGCGGUCCUUUAAGUCUGAUGUGAAAGCCCACGGCUCAACCGUGGAGGGUCAUUGGAAACUGGGGGACUUGAGUGCAGAAGAGGAAAGCGGAAUUCCACGUGUAGCGGUGAAAUGCGUAGAGAUGUGGAGGAACACCAGUGGCGAAGGCGGCUUUCUGGUCUGUAACUGACGCUGAGGCGCGAAAGCGUGGGGAGCAAACAGG
rnacentral:rRNA from 1 species